rnacentral:rRNA from 1 species
UCAUCUCCGGGGGUAGAGCACUGUUUCGGCAAGGGGGUCAUCCCGACUUACCAACCCGAUGCAAACUGCGAAUACCGGAGAAUGUUAUCACGGGAGACACACGGCGGGUGCUAACGUCCGUCGUGAAGAGGGAAACAACCCAGACCGCCAGCUAAGGUCCCAAAGUCAUGGUUAAGUGGGAAACGAUGUGGGAAGGCCCAGACAGCCAGGAUGUUGGCUUAGAAGCAGCCAUCAUUUAAAGAAAGCGUAAUAGCUCACUGGUCGAGUCGGCCUGCGCGGAAGAUGUAACGGGGCUAAACCAUGCACCGAAGCUGCGGCAGCGACGCUUAUGCGUUGUUGGGUAGGGGAGCGUUCUGUAAGCCUGUGAAGGUGUGCUGUGAGGCAUGCUGGAGGUAUCAGAAGUGCGAAUGCUGACAUAAGUAACGAUAAAGCGGGUGAAAAGCCCGCUCGCCGGAAGACCAAGGGUUCCUGUCCAACGUUAAUCGGGGCAGGGUGAGUCGACCCCUAAGGCGAGGCCGAAAGGCGUAGUCGAUGGGAAACAGGUUAAUAUUCCUGUACUUGGUGUUACUGCGAAGGGGGGACGGAGAAGGCUAUGUUGGCCGGGCGACGGUUGUCCCGGUUUAAGCGUGUAGGCUGGUUUUCCAGGCAAAUCCGGAAAAUCAAGGCUGAGGCGUGAUGACGAGGCACUACGGUGCUGAAGCAACAAAUGCCCUGCUUCCAGGAAAAGCCUCUAAGCAUCAGGUAACAUCAAAUCGUACCCCAAACCGACACAGGUGGUCAGGUAGAGAAUACCAAGGCGCUUGAGAGAACUCGGGUGAAGGAACUAGGCAAAAUGGUGCCGUAACUUCGGGAGAAGGCACGCUGAUAUGUAGGUGAAGUCCCUCGCGGAUGGAGCUGAAAUCAGUCGAAGAUACCAGCUGGCUGCAACUGUUUAUUAAAAACACAGCACUGUGCAAACACGAAAGUGGACGUAUACGGUGUGACGCCUGCCCGGUGCCGGAAGGUUAAUUGAUGGGGUCAGCGCAAGCGAAGCUCUUGAUCGAAGCCCCGGUAAACGGCGGCCGUAACUAUAACGGUCCUAAGGUAGCGAAAUUCCUUGUCGGGUAAGUUCCGACCUGCACGAAUGGCGUAAUGAUGGCCAGGCUGUCUCCACCCGAGACUCAGUGAAAUUGAACUCGCUGUGAAGAUGCAGUGUACCCGCGGCAAGACGGAAAGACCCCGUGAACCUUUACUAUAGCUUGACACUGAACAUUGAGCCUUGAUGUGUAGGAUAGGUGGGAGGCUUAGAAGUGUGGACGCCAGUCUGCAUGGAGCCGACCUUGAAAUACCACCCUUUAAUGUUUGAUGUUCUAACGUUGACCCGUAAUCCGGGUUGCGGACAGUGUCUGGUGGGUAGUUUGACUGGGGCGGUCUCCUCCUAAAGAGUAACGGAGGAGCACGAAGGUUGGCUAAUCCUGGUCGGACAUCAGGAGGUUAGUGCAAUGGCAUAAGCCAGCUUGACUGCGAGCGUGACGGCGCGAGCAGGUGCGAAAGCAGGUCAUAGUGAUCCGGUGGUUCUGAAUGGAAGGGCCAUCGCUCAACGGAUAAAAGGUACUCCGGGGAUAACAGGCUGAUACCGCCCAAGAGUUCAUAUCGACGGCGGUGUUUGGCACCUCGAUGUCGGCUCAUCACAUCCUGGGGCUGAAGUAGGUCCCAAGGGUAUGGCUGUUCGCCAUUUAAAGUGGUACGCGAGCUGGGUUUAGAACGUCGUGAGACAGUUCGGUCCCUAUCUGCCGUGGGCGCUGGAGAACUGAGGGGGGCUGCUCCUAGUACGAGAGGACCGGAGUGGACGCAUCACUGGUGUUCGGGUUGUCAUGCCAAUGGCACUGCCCGGUAGCUAAAUGCGGAAGAGAUAAGUGCUGAAAGCAUCUAAGCACGAAACUUGCCCCGAGAUGAGUUCUCCCUGACCCUUUAAGGGUCCUGAAGGAACGUUGAAGACGACGACGUUGAUAGGCCGGGUGUGUAAGCGCAGCGAUGCGUUGAGCUAACCGGUACUAAUGAACCGUGAGGCUUAACCUUACAACGCCGAAGGUGUUU